rnacentral:rRNA from 1 species
AGAGAAGCGAUGCGGCGACGCAGAGCGGAACUUCAAAGCCUGUCUCAGUUCGGAUUGGAGUCUGNAACCCGACUCCGUGAAGCUGGAUUCGCUAGUAAUCGCGCAUCAGCCAUGGCGCGGUGAAUACGUUCCCGGGCCUUGUACACACCGCCCGUCAAGCCAUGGAAGCCGGGGGUGCCUGAAGUGUGCAGCCGCAAGGAGCGCCCUAAGGUAAAACCGGUGACUGGGGCUAAGUCGUAACAAGGUAUC